AGAGUUUGAUCCUGGCUCAGGAUGAACGCUGGCGGCGUGCUUAACACAUGCAAGUCGAACGGGAAAUAUUUCAUUGAGACUUCGGUGGAUUUGAUCUAUUUCUAGUGGCGGACGGGUGAGUAACGCGUGGGUAACCUGCCUUAUACAGGGGGAUAACAGUCAGAAAUGGCUGCUAAUACCGCAUAAGCGCACAGAGCUGCAUGGCUCAGUGUGAAAAACUCCGGUGGUAUAAGAUGGACCCGCGUUGGAUUAGCUUGUUGGUGGGGUAACGGCCCACCAAGGCGACGAUCCAUAGCCGGCCUGAGAGGGUGAACGGCCACAUUGGGACUGAGACACGGCCCAGACUCCUACGGGAGGCAGCAGUGGGGAAUAUUGCACAAUGGGGGAAACCCUGAUGCAGCGACGCCGCGUGAGCGAAGAAGUAUUUCGGUAUGUAAAGCUCUAUCAGCAGGGAAGAAAAUGACGGUACCUGACUAAGAAGCCCCGGCUAACUACGUGCCAGCAGCCGCGGUAAUACGUAGGGGGCAAGCGUUAUCCGGAUUUACUGGGUGUAAAGGGAGCGUAGACGGCGAGGCAAGUCUGAUGUGAAAACCCGGGGCUCAACCCCGUGACUGCAUUGGAAACUGUUUUGCUUGAGUGCCGGAGAGGUAAGCGGAAUUCCUAGUGUAGCGGUGAAAUGCGUAGAUAUUAGGAGGAACACCAGUGGCGAAGGCGGCUUACUGGACGGCAACUGACGUUGAGGCUCGAAAGCGUGGGGAGCAAACAGGAUUAGAUACCCUGGUAGUCCACGCCGUAAACGAU
rnacentral:rRNA from 1 species